rnacentral:misc_RNA from 1 species
AGUUCUCAACCAUGCCAGUUCAGGUGUGGCUUGGAUGUGGGGGAGUUGUGCUUUGCAGGCUUCAGAAACUGAGGUCUGCUCUCCUGAAAUGCAUGAGUGGUAUCUGAGCAGAACCCACCAAUAACAGGUGUGAUAAUUAUCUAUGCCCUUGGAUGGACUGCAUAAACCAGAUUGUGCUGCUUCUAACAUGAUGGAUCUUUUGACAA